rnacentral:rRNA from 7 species
AAAUUGAAGAGUUUGAUCAUGGCUCAGAUUGAACGCUGGCGGCAGGCCUAACACAUGCAAGUCGAACGGUAACAGGAAGCAGCUUGCUGCUUCGCUGACGAGUGGCGGACGGGUGAGUAAUGUCUGGGAAACUGCCUGAUGGAGGGGGAUAACUACUGGAAACGGUGGCUAAUACCGCAUAACGUCGCAAGACCAAAGAGGGGGACCUUCGGGCCUCUUGCCAUCAGAUGUGCCCAGAUGGGAUUAGCUAGUUGGUGAGGUAACGGCUCACCAAGGCGACGAUCCCUAGCUGGUCUGAGAGGAUGACCAGCCACACUGGAACUGAGACACGGUCCAGACUCCUACGGGAGGCAGCAGUGGGGAAUAUUGCACAAUGGGCGCAAGCCUGAUGCAGCCAUGCCGCGUGUAUGAAGAAGGCCUUCGGGUUGUAAAGUACUUUCAGCGGGGAGGAAGGUGUUGUGGUUAAUAACCGCAGCAAUUGACGUUACCCGCAGAAGAAGCACCGGCUAACUCCGUGCCAGCAGCCGCGGUAAUACGGAGGGUGCAAGCGUUAAUCGGAAUUACUGGGCGUAAAGCGCACGCAGGCGGUCUGUCAAGUCGGAUGUGAAAUCCCCGGGCUCAACCUGGGAACUGCAUUCGAAACUGGCAGGCUUGAGUCUUGUAGAGGGGGGUAGAAUUCCAGGUGUAGCGGUGAAAUGCGUAGAGAUCUGGAGGAAUACCGGUGGCGAAGGCGGCCCCCUGGACAAAGACUGACGCUCAGGUGCGAAAGCGUGGGGAGCAAACAGGAUUAGAUACCCUGGUAGUCCACGCCGUAAACGAUGUCUACUUGGAGGUUGUGCCCUUGAGGCGUGGCUUCCGGAGCUAACGCGUUAAGUAGACCGCCUGGGGAGUACGGCCGCAAGGUUAAAACUCAAAUGAAUUGACGGGGGCCCGCACAAGCGGUGGAGCAUGUGGUUUAAUUCGAUGCAACGCGAAGAACCUUACCUGGUCUUGACAUCCACGGAAGUUUUCAGAGAUGAGAAUGUGCCUUCGGGAACCGUGAGACAGGUGCUGCAUGGCUGUCGUCAGCUCGUGUUGUGAAAUGUUGGGUUAAGUCCCGCAACGAGCGCAACCCUUAUCCUUUGUUGCCAGCGAUUAGGUCGGGAACUCAAAGGAGACUGCCAGUGAUAAACUGGAGGAAGGUGGGGAUGACGUCAAGUCAUCAUGGCCCUUACGACCAGGGCUACACACGUGCUACAAUGGCGCAUACAAAGAGAAGCGACCUCGCGAGAGCAAGCGGACCUCAUAAAGUGCGUCGUAGUCCGGAUUGGAGUCUGCAACUCGACUCCAUGAAGUCGGAAUCGCUAGUAAUCGUGGAUCAGAAUGCCACGGUGAAUACGUUCCCGGGCCUUGUACACACCGCCCGUCACACCAUGGGAGUGGGUUGCAAAAGAAGUAGGUAGCUUAACCUUCGGGAGGGCGCUUACCACUUUGUGAUUCAUGACUGGGGUGAAGUCGUAACAAGGUAACCGUAGGGGAACCUGCGGUUGGAUCACCUCCUUA